UACGUAGGUGACAAGCGUUGUCCGGAUUUACUGGGCGUAAAGAGCGCGCAGGCGGUCGUUCAAGUCGCGUGUGAAAGCCCCCGGCUCAACUGGGGAGGGUCACGCGAUACUGAUCGACUCGAAGGCAGGAGAGGGAAGUGGAAUUCCCGGUGUAGUGGUGAAAUGCGUAGAUAUCGGGAGGAACACCAGUGGCGAAGGCGACUUCCUGGCCUGUUCUUGACGCUGAGGCGCGAAAGCUAGGGGAGCAAACGGG
rnacentral:rRNA from 1 species